CCUACGGGUGGCAGCAGUGAGGAAUAUUGGUCAAUGGACGAGAGUCUGAACCAGCCAAGUAGCGUGAAGGAUGACUGCCCUAUGGGUUGUAAACUUCUUUUAUAUGGGAAUAAAAUGUUCCACGUGUGGGAUUUUGUAUGUACCAUAUGAAUAAGGAUCGGCUAACUCCGUGCCAGCAGCCGCGGUAAUACGGCGGAUCCGAGCGUUAUCCGGAUUUAUUGGGUUUAAAGGGAGCGUAGGUGGAUUGUUAAGUCAGUUGUGAAAGUUUGCGGCUCAACCGUAAAAUUGCAGUUGAAACUGGCAGUCUUGAGUACAGUAGAGGUGGGCGGAAUUCGUGGUGUAGCGGUGAAAUGCUUAGAUAUCACGAAGAACUCCGAUUGCGAAGGCAGUUCACUGGACUGCAACUGACACUGAGGCUCGAAAGUGUGGGUAUCAAACAGGAGUAGAUACCCUAGUAGUC
rnacentral:rRNA from 1 species